GAUCCUGGCUCAGGAUGAACGCUAGCUACAGGCUUAGCACAUGCAAGUCGAGGGGCAGCAUGGUCUUAGCUUGCUAAGACUGAUGGCGACCGGCGCACGGGUGAGUAACACGUAUCCAACCUGCCGUCUACUCUUGGACAGCCCUCUGAAAGGAAGAUUAAUACAAGAUGGCAUCAUGAGUCCGCAUGUUCACAUGAUUAAAGGUAUUCCGGUAGACGAUGGGG
rnacentral:rRNA from 1 species